rnacentral:lncRNA from 13 species
GCAUUCUCAACUAAAAAUAUGUGGGUCAACACUGAUCGCCAGUCAGUGUGAGUAAAGUAAUGUUCACUUUACUUUCAAUGCAUUUUUCUGCAAAAGGUAAGGUACACACAUGUUCAAAAUAAUUUGCAUAUGAACAGCAUUUGUGUGCAUUUACCCUCCACUACACCACUGGUAACAUUCUGUAAAUGAUCUGUUAUAUACUCUUCUCUAAUACCGCUCUGGAUAAAGGCAAUCUACAAUUUUCUGAGUACAAAUGAAAAACGCUUUUAUUCCCCCAAAAUGUUGCCAUUUUCUAUGGUUUAGCAUAGCAUCUUUAAUACAUUGUUUACUUGCCGAUUAACAAUCAGUCCAGACAUAGCCAUCGAAAGCAGUCCUAGUGAAGCAUUUGUGUGACGCGGUAGCUACUGAGGUAAUUGUGGUGCUGGCUCUGUUUGUGGUACAAGGUGCAGGCCGCGAUGAAGAUCCUGUAGUAGAAAAUGAAGAUGAGGCCAUGGAGCUGUAGAAGGCCCUGAAGGUGGAGGAGAUGGUGUGGCCGAUGUGGUCAUGCUCUUGUAAUCACGUGUGGUGUGUGUGCGUUCGGUAUCCGGCACCCAUACACUUUCACAAAACGUGUGGUGAAGCUGAGUUGGCUGGGAGGAAGUGAGGCGAUCAUGUUAAUUGAGGGUUCUGGUUAGUAUAUAGCCCUGUCUGUCUCCUCAACUCACCACAUCCACUUAAUCCCUCUCUUAUUGUCUCAACAUCCAGUGGGAUAGUAGUGCCUGGCGUUCCAAACUACUACACAGUACACGGACUAUUGGCAGAGUUGGGAUUACAGCUACAAACAUCUGAUUCUGGUGGAACUGGGGAAAAGAAUGAAGAUUACAGUAGUGAUUUUUUGCUUGGUUGGGGCGGUUUAUGCCAACCCAAUUCUGUACAAAGCUAUUUUGGAACAGAGCGAACUGGAAUCAUCAAACAUGGUAAGUGCUAUCAAAAGAAGCAAUCAAAAGUAUCUGCAGUUUGAUUGUUGUG